rnacentral:rRNA from 1 species
CGCGUAGGCGGUUUGGCAAGUCUGACGUGAAAUGUACCGGUUCAACCGGGGCGCUGUGUCAGAAACUGCCUUACUUGAGGUCGAGGGAGGAGAGUGGAAUUCCCGGUGUAGCGGUGAAAUGCGUAGAUAUCAGGAGGAACACCCGUGGCGAAGGCGACUCUCUAUCUCGAUUCUGACGCUGAGGCGCGAAAGCUAGGGGAGCAAACG